rnacentral:misc_RNA from 1 species
GAUGAAGAACGUAGCGAAAUGCGAUAAGUAAUGAGAAUUGCAGAAUUCAGUGAAUCAUCGAAUCUUUGAACGCAUCUUGCGCUCCUUGGUAUUCUGAGGAGCAUGCCUGUUUGAGUGUCAUUAAAUUCUCAACUACACUGACUUUGAAUUGGUGUGGCUUGGAUUUGGGGGGAAAAUUGUUGUGGGCUUUUUGUAUAGUCUGCUCCCCUGAAAUUGAUUAGCGGUACCUUUGUGGAACUGUCUACAGGUGUGAUAAUUAUCUACAUCUUAGACAUCUGCUGGAAUGCUGCUCUCUAAACCUUACUUGUAUUGACAAUCUUGACCUCAAAUCAGGUAGGACUACCCGCUGAACUUAAGCAUAUCAAUAAGCGGAGGA